CGAACGCUGGCGGCGUGCUUAACACAUGCAAGUCGAACGGAAAGGCCCUGCUUUUGUGGGGUGCUCGAGUGGCGAACGGGUGAGUAACACGUGAGUAACCUGCCCUUGACUUUGGGAUAACUUCAGGAAACUGGGGCUAAUACCGGAUAGGAGCUCCUGCUGCAUGGUGGGGGUUGGAAAGUUUCGGCGGUUGGGGAUGGACUCGCGGCUUAUCAGCUUGUUGGUGGGGUAGUGGCUUACCAAGGCUUUGACGGGUAGCCGGCCUGAGAGGGUGACCGGCCACAUUGGGACUGAGAUACGGCCCAGACUCCUACGGGAGGCAGCAGUGGGGAAUAUUGCACAAUGGGCGGAAGCCUGAUGCAGCAACGCCGCGUGCGGGAUGACGGCCUUCGGGUUGUAAACCGCUUUCGCCUGUGACGAAGCGUGAGUGACGGUAAUGGGUAAAGAAGCACCGGCUAACUACGUGCCAGCAGCCGCGGUGAUACGUAGGGUGCGAGCGUUGUCCGGAUUUAUUGGGCGUAAAGGGCUCGUAGGUGGUUGAUCGCGUCAGAAGUGUAAUCUUGGGGCUUAACCCUGAGCGUGCUUUCGAUACGGGUUGACUUGAGGAAGGUAGGGGAGAAUGGAAUUCUGGUGGAGCGGUGGAAUGCGCAGAUAUCAGGAGGAACACCAGUGCGAAGGCGGUUCUCUGGGCCUUCCUGACGCUGAGAGCGAAAGCGUGGGAAGCGAACAGGCUUAGAUACCUGGUAGUCCACGCUGUAAACGGUGGGUACUAGGUGUGGGGUCCAUUCCACGGGUUCCGUGCCGUAGCUAACGCUUUAAGUACCCCGCCUGGGGAGUACGGCCGCAAGGCUAAAACUCAAAGGAAUUGACGGGGCCCCGCACAAGCGGCGGAGCAUGCGGAUUAAUUCGAUGCAACGCGUAGAACCUUACCUGGGUUUGACAUGGAUCGGGAGUGCUCAGAGAUGGGUGUGCCUCUUUUGGGGUCGGUUCACAGGUGGUGCAUGGCUGUCGUCAGCUCGUGUCGUGAGAUGUUGGGUUAAGUCCCGCAACGAGCGCAACCCUUGUUCACUGUUGCCAGCACGUUAUGGUGGGGACUCAGUGGAGACCGCCGGGGUCAACUCGGAGGAAGGUGGGGAUGACGUCAAGUCAUCAUGCCCCUUAUGUCCAGGGCUUCACGCAUGCUACAAUGGCUGGUACAGAGAGUGGCGAGCCUGUGAGGGUGAGCGAAUCUCGGAAAGCCGGUCUCAGUUCGGAUUGGGGUCUGCAACUCGACCUCAUGAAGUCGGAGUCGCUAGUAAUCGCAGAUCAGCAACGCUGCGGUGAAUACGUUCCCGGGGCUUGUACACACCGCCCGUCAAGUCAUGAAAGUUGGUAACACCCGAAG
rnacentral:rRNA from 1 species